GAAAGUUCACGAUUUUUUCGACA
rnacentral:snRNA from 1 species